CUGCGCAGCCACGCACGCCGACGCAGCGCUCGUCGCGCCACUAGAGAGACGGAGAGCGGGCGGGACAAAAUUCUCGCGGCCUCCCGCCGUCGGAGGUACGUGCGCUCCUGUCUGCGCAAUGCUGGUUUCCUGCUCUGGAAGAGAAGGGACGUCGGCCGUCGGGAAGAAACCGUAGUAUCAGAUGAGUAAAAAUUUAGAAGACAGCCCCAAGAUCCAUGGUGUAAAGCGGCACUACUAGCAAAAUGAGGAUGGUGUGACUAAGACCUCGGUUUAUAGACCAAGAUAUGAGCAUGGUUUUUAGACACAGUGGUGACAGGACAUCUCAGAAGAAAAGACUAUAUUAAAAGAAGUUACCCAAUGCUGUUUUUACUGUAAGUCCUGUUUAAUUCCUAAGGAAAGUACACUGAGGGCCUAUGAUGUUAUAUUCUGUGCUUCAGUUCCACUUCAUGGAAUCUUCACAUUUUCCUAAACCAUAUUCAAACCUAUCAUAAUCUGAUUAAAAUGAAUAAAGAUUCUAAAAGUAAUUUAAAAAUCAUUUAAUACACAAAGUGGAAAACUAUAAUAUAAAAGCAUUUCACAUUUUUUAAAAACACAUAAUACCUUCUAAAUUAUUUAAUGAGGUGAUAGAUCCACAAUCCUUUAUCUGAAACCCUUAGGACAAGAUGUUUCAGAAUUAUGAAAUUUUUGGAUUUUAGAAAGGUAAUUCAGUGCAUAUACCAUACUACAUAAACACCCAGCAGGGUCUGUGGCAGCCCCAUCCCACUCCCAAUAAUCAAAUAUGUUAAUAUUUCCACAGCAAAAUAAAUGAAUAUUCACACUAAAUGGGAUAAAUAGAUUCAAUGUCAGUUCAGGUUAGAUUUUCAAGCAAAUGAGUUUUGUUACCAAGCUUAUGAAAAACCUUGUUUUCAGAGUUUUGAUUUUGGAAUUACAGAUAAGGGAGUGCAGAUCUUUAUAAAUUUGUAGGACAAGACAUGAAAAAUUCGUUAAACAAAUGACCCAUUUUUACAAAUGAAAAAACAACAGUUUUCAAACACAUUAUAAAUUAACAGGCAUCUUCUUGAUAUUAUUAAAUGUACAUCUUAAAUACAUAUACACACAGCACAUUUAACAAGAUGAGAAUCAACUUAUUAAAGGCACAGAUGCACAAUUCCUUCUAUAGGAAAGGGAUAUUAUCAAAUGUGCAGUAAAAUUAAAAUUAAGUCAACUCCUUAUGUUGCCAGGAAGAGCAUUUCUGAAUGCAACAAAAGGAGGUAGAGUUUAUUCUUCAUGAAAUACAGUUUUACUUGAGACCAAUCUCUCCCACAAAAACAGGCAAACAACUUUUACUUACAACACAUACAUUAGUUGAGGUUUUGUUUUCUGCAUAUCGAUGAUACUUUUGGCCUUAUGCCCAAAAUUUAGUGGUAAAAGAUGGUUUUUAGUCAGUUAAGUGUUUUAUCAUGUUUGAAGACAAAUGGAUUGCCAUGAUAUGCUUAAGUAGCUAUCAUAUUUAAACAAGUCCACUGACUUGUUUAAAAUUCUCUGUUCACGGGUUAAAAUUCUGUUUAGGGGUUAAAAUUUCCCAAAGUCGAAAUACCGUGCUUGUAAAAUCUUGCAUUUUUUCUGAUCAUAGCCAUUUCUUCCAUUUGUUGGUGUCUGAAGAGUAUUUUCAUGGGAGAAAAACAAAUUUCCUGCAUGUGCAGCAACAAUCUCCGUCAGUUUGGGCACACUGAAUAAGUAGCAAGUCAUUCUGUUAACCAACUCCAAUCAAGAUUCUAAAACCAGCAUGGAAAAAAUUAUAAUUAGAUGUUGACUUUAAACAGUAGGUUUAUGGGUGUUACUUUUUGCAAGUUUUCUGUGUGUUUGGACAUUUUAUAAUCAAAAGUUGAAAAAUCAAAGUAUAAGUUACAGUUAGUUUAAUUUUACCUUCUGUCCUGCCGAUUAAAAAAAAUAUUUCAGAAAAAAUAUUUCAGUUUUCAUAAAUAUUUGAAGUAAAUAAUGAAAGGAAAUACAAGCAAUUGACCUUGAGACUAACUGUAGUAAAAUUAACUCAAUAAACAUUUUUUGUGGUUUCUCUGAGUUUUAACAAAUCAGUAAUUCACAGUAACCAAAUCUUAAUAUUUCUAUUAAUUUUGACUGUGUUAACAUUAUUUGUUUUACGUACAGCUGUUAUUAUAUUUGAGUUACAGUACAAAUCCUGCCCCAUCUUAUUGAAGAAAAUUGAUUACUGAAGCAAAAAGGUACAAACCAUUCAAUUUCAGUGGUCACAUUGCAAAAAAAGUUCACCCUUCAUUUAAUUUGACCAAAAUGCUACUGCUGAAGAUUUACUAAUGACAUAAUCCUAGUAUAUCCAUGAAUAAGAGAAGAUUGGGAUCUGAGGUCAAAGAUAUAACUUAAAUGUCUUUUCUCUUUCUUCUGAGUUCUCCUUUUCCCCAUAUGCAUCCCAAAUGCCAGAGGUGGCUAGCAUGGAAAGUCAAAACAUACCCAUAUCCAUAUAAAACUUACCAUCAUUCUACUGCCCUGUUCCUCAUUUGCUUCAUGAAUAAUAGUGCUUAAAUGGCCAAGACAGUUCAAAUUUUCUUCUAUCAUUUGUACUAUAGUCUCCCUGUAUGAUGAAAAAACAAAGCCUUUUCAAAUGCAGCAAAGAGACAUACAAAUUUCCUCUACCUUCUGGUCUUCAGGGUCAGGAUAAUCACUGCCCCUCCUGCAGCCCUGCAACCCAGCACCCCAAUGCAGCUGAUUCCUAUGGUCUUCAGUUUCCUUAUCCCUCCCACCCAGAGGCAGAGUCUUGCUUGUUAAUGCAAGCUGUUGCUUCUGCCCAGCUUGAAUGAGAAGAAAUCCAUUAUAAAUGCAAUCUCAUUUUCCUCUGAAAUAUAAGCAGCACUUAAAUACAACUACCCUCCCCACUCUUGAAAAAUGCUAAUGGGGGGUGGAGUGGGAGAGAAAAUUGUAGUGCAGACAGAUGAAAAAUCUUUUUGUUUCUGGAAUAUUUUCCUUUCCUUAUAAGUAGUAAAAAUAUCAGUGUGCUUAUUACUCCAGAGACACAAAUAUAAGGGUGAAGAUAAAGAAGUACAAUCUGGUCUGCAAAGAUAAGGGAAGGUGAAAACUGGUUGGAAACUACAGAUGACAGCGAUGAAAAAGAAAACAAGCAAGCUGAUUUCUGAGGACAGCAGAAGAAAAUAGCAUCAUAAGGUAGCUGCCCAGAACCAACAAGAAUCUCUGGAAGUUUAUAUUUGAAGAAAAUCCUUAUUUUGGUUUCCACCUUCCCCACUUUCCUCUGCCAUUUGGCCUCUAUCCUUUACCUUUUACCAGCCCUCAGUCUCUACCUUACUAGAAUUAGUUCUAGGCCAUAAAUGAUAGCCACUAUAAGGUCAAAACUAAAUUCUAAUUCUAAAGCACGUAUUCAAAAGAUGAAAAAUUGAAUCCAACAGAUCCCACCUUGGUGGUUAAGUAUUAUGUGCACAUUGUAAUUGAAAUCAAUUUUACUUUAUAACGUAUUCCUACUGGAAAACAUUUAAAAUUCCUGUCCGACAUGCUUUUGCUAACAACCCAACCUCAAAUUAGAAAUGGACUGUAUAGAGGUGACAUUUGCAACCAUUAGCAUCCCCUAACCUAAAUGCCUUUAACAAAAGUAAAAAGGUUAGUAAUGUACUAAAUUUUAUUUGUUUCAACUCUGAGUAAUGGAAUAUUUUCUAAAGUCAAUUAUAUAGCCUGUGCUGUAGCUGUGGAUGUAUUACAUUGGGCCAAAUCUCUAACGAUCCCAAGAUACACCCUACAACUUGCUUUCUUUAAAAAAAUAAAAUACCUGAUAUCAGCUUUCCUUCCUGCCAUGUGCUUUUCUCUCAUAAAAGUAGAGUACAGAAUGUGCAACUGCAUGACCUCCUGAGCAGUGAUGUAACAUGGCUGCACUUCUGCAAAACUAAUUAUGGGCAGAGCUUCCAGGUAAUGCUGGUGCUGCUGUAGAGGUCUCCAUGAGUUGUGAGAAAAGCGACAAUACACAAGCUAGCAAAGAGCCACUGGCUCUGGAUACGGCACAUCUUAUGCUGAGAAAAAUAACAGAAAUGGAUAGUCAUUCAGCUUUUAGCAGGAGAGUAGGAAUUAAUAAAAGAAAAUAUAAGGCUUCACACUUGAGUUCUUAUUUGCAAAACUGAUUUAAGGCAUUUAAAAAAGCCUGAUUUUAGAAAUACCAAGUUAUAAAAUCAAGUAGAUUACACUCAAUAAUUCAUUAGAAAGGUGAUCAAGGACCCCAAAAUGAUAAAUCCAAAAGACAGCAUAACUUUUGAGAUAAAUGGUUAUGGAAGAAAUAGCUUGGGUAAAAGAAUUGCUAAGCCAGUAACAGAGAAAGAACUUAAAACUUAGAUUGAGCUACAUAAGUAACAUUUGCUGAUAUUUACUUUCCAUACACUUCACAUACAACAUCUAAUUGAAUUUUCAGAACAGUUCCCAUUUUACAGGUGAGGAAAUGGGAACAUUUAAAGAAUCAAGUUAAUUUGCCCAAGGCUAUUACAAAGGGACAUUAUUAUAAAAGGGACAGUCAGGAUUUAACCCUGGUGUAUAAAGUACUGAAGACUUUUUCUUAACCACUAUGCUCUACUCUACCUCAUUCCUACCACUGCUCUUGAAAACAACUAUCUAUUGUUGCAAAGUGAACCCACCCAUCUUGAGGAGUUACCACGCAUGACAGAGGAUGUUCACGUUCUGCUGAAUUUGGAGGAAGCCAUGCUGAUGCCUGAGGGGUUACUGCACCUUCUAGACUGGAUCCUACGAGGGACCGGGCAGAACUCUGUGUCUGAAGGGGGAAAAAGUAAAUAAGAUUACAGGCAAGCACCACAAUUGAUGCAUACAAUUUCCUACAAUGUUCCUAAGAUUUACACUUCUACCAGUGCUUAGAUGCACAACCACAAAACUAUCCUCACCUUUUUAUAAGUAUUUCUGUACAAAACUAUCCUGUCCUUGACCACCUUUCUUAACUAAAACCAAAUGUAUUUGCCCUUCUCAUUCCACUUUUGUUGGAGAAAAAAAAAAAA